GAUGAACGCUGGCGGCGUGCUUAACACAUGCAAGUCGAACGGAAAGGCCCUGCUUUUGUGGGGUGCUCGAGUGGCGAACGGGUGAGUAACACGUGUGUAACCUGCCCUUGACUUUGGGAUAACUUCAGGAAACUGGGGCUAAUAUCGGAUAGGAGCUCCUGCUGCAUGGUGGGGGUUGGAAAGUUUCGGCGGUUGGGGAUGGACUCGCGGCUUACCAGCUUGUUGGUGGGGUAGUGGCUUACCAAGGCUUUGACGGGUAGGCGGCCUGGGAGGGUGACCGGGCACCAUGGGACUAAGGGACGGCCCAGACUCCAACGGGAGGCAGCAGUGGGGAGUAUUGCACAAUGGGCGGGAGCCUGAUGCAGCAGCGCCGCGUGCGGGAUGCCGGCCUUCGGGUUGAAAACCGCUUUCGCCUGUGACGAAGCGGGAGUGACGGUAAUGAGUAAAGAAGCACCGGCUAACUACGUG
rnacentral:rRNA from 1 species